ACCCACAGAGAAGAAGAUUUCAACUACUGCAGUUGGCUAACGCGAACAGUGUGAAUGACACACGUAGGAUAUGAAGGAACUACAAACAGUCGAAUCUCACCUUAUCGAGAUUGAAUGUGUUGUGUUGUGCUGUAACCGUGAGAUUAACUUUACUUCCUUAAUAAAAGGGUGAUCAUCAUCCUCUGGACCUUUCUCUUCUCUUCUCUUCUCUUCUCUUCUCUUCUCUUCUCUUCUCUUCUCUUCUCUUCUCCAGACCCAAUGAUGGAGGUCAUGGUGAAGGUAGAAGAUGCCCAAGAGGAUGACGAAUCUGCUUUUCUCUCGCUGAGCUGUGGUUACAGUGACGCAAAACGAACCAGUCUGGAAGACAUAGUGAAGGUAGAAGACGCUCGAGAGGAUAAAGAAUCUGCCUUUCUCUCGAUGAGCUGUGGUUACAGUGACUUAAAACGAACCAGUCUGGAAGUCAUAGUGAAGGAAGAGGAUGUUUCAGAAGAUGAAGACACCACACUACCUAGCUACAGCGGAUCAUCUAAACAGGUGGCUAUGGUGAAAGCAGAGGAUGCUCAAGAACACGAACGUCUGGGUUGUCCUCCGCAAGUUGCAGACAGAGGAGAAAUCUCCUCAAGAGCUGGUUCUACACUGGAGCUGAAUAACAGCCUGUCUGGCUGGAGGGAAACGGAGCAGAAGCGCAAUCAAGCAACUGUAUUGGGGAUGGACUGCAGCGCAGGAGAGAGAUUGCUUCCUGUCCUGUGGGACCAGCGUGAAGUCUGCAUCAACAAGGCACAACCAAGGAAGCCAAAUCUCAUGGAGAAGCUGCGGGAGAAAUCGAAACAAAAGGCGAAGAACUCCCCUGACGAGGAGGAGAACGUUCAUCUGUCCCCGCCGUUCGGUAACAAGAACGCCACCAAGCACACCAGACUGAUCGAGUUCGGAUGGAUGCACAAUCGGAAACAAGUGCGCAGCAGAAAUGGCGGCGGAACGAGGAAGCUGAUAGUUCCAAAGAACGCCGGCUACGACGACCUCUUUAGGCUGGGCAAGGAACUGUUCUUCCCCAGCGGUUCGUCGACAAAAGGCCCCGAGAGGGAUUUUAUUUUUAACAUCCGGGACUACGGGGGGAGCGAGAUGCCCCGCAGCGCCUCGGUGGGGGCCUUGUACGAGCCCCUGAAGCACGGAAUGCUGAGGCUGUACUUGUGCUCGAUCGAUCGCGGGGAAUCCGAACCGGAAUCGGAAUUCAGAUGCGAGUCCGAAUCGGAAUCCUGCAGCUCUGAGACCGUGUCGAGCCCUGCCAAGCCACUGGGACAGGCCAGCUGUUAUGGGGAGCCUUGCUCAUCAUUGGACUUUAGCUCCAACAAUUUUGCUCACGAGGUUCUUAAUUAUUCCCAAGAAUCGUACCACUUUGCGGUCGAAGCUUCACCAUCUUUUAAACCCAGACAACAUGCACCGUUAAACUCGAACUCCAGCGAUUCUCCUCGCGAGCAUCUCAACGGUUUUCAGGAAUCCUACCACUCUGUGUUUGAAGCUCCACCACUUUAUAAUCUCGGCACAGCCACGCCCCCUCCGACACCGAAGAGGGCUCGGUGGGAUGCAGAUCAACGCGCCGCUCAGAAAACUCUUAGACUGCGUCGCGUAAACAUCACUCACGAAAUGAUCGAGCAGUUCCAAGACCCAGACAUAGUGGAUGCCUCUGUGUCCGUGAGCUUCGUAGAAGAAUCUGGCAUCGACACGUCAGGCCCGGCCCAGGAAGGGUACUCCGGGUUCUGGGAGGCGUUCUUGCAGGCCGACGUGAGUGACGGUGCGGAGCGGGUUCCAGUUCUGCAGCCCGACUAUGGGAAGGCAGAGUGGGAAGCCGUGGGGCGGAUCCUGCUGAAGGGGUACCAGGAUCACGGCUACUUCCCCACUCAGCUGGCUCCGCCGUUUACUGUCUGUCUUAUUCACGGAGAGGAGAAGGUGACGCCAGAAAUGCUGAUGAAGUCUUUCUUGAGGUUCGCCACCCCAGCUGAGAGGAACAUUCUUUCCUCAGCCUUGGAAGGAGGGCAGUAUGAGAUGGCCGACCUGCUCGACAUUCUCCACAGGAUGCGUGUGCACUCCUUGCCAGAAGGGGGCACCAUUGAGGACAUAAUCGUACGCAUGGCUCAUACACAGCUGAUCCAGGAGCCCAUGUACGCACUGCUCAGGAUGGCCAACACAGCCCAGGGUGGCCUCAGACUUCUACUACCUACUGUGUCGGCAGUAACAGCACUUUAUGAAACAUAA
ensembl:lncRNA